AGUGCACACAAAACCCAAAGAUUAUUAGAGUAUUGUGUAAUAAUCUUGUCUGGUGUGCAUAAAUUAUAUUGGUACCUUGUCGCCUUUCAAGAGCUGAUAUGCCCAUGGAAGUGAAACUGAAGGUCCUACAGAU